GACGAACGCUGGCGGCGUGCUUAACACAUGCAAGUCGAGCGGUAAGGCCCUUUCGGGGGUACACGAGCGGCGAACGGGUGAGUAACACGUGGGUGACCUGCCCUCAGCUCUGGGAUAAGCCUGGGAAACCGGGUCUAAUACCGGAUAUGACUCCAUGACGCAUGUUGUGGGGUGGAAAGCCUUGUGCGGCUGAGGAUGGGCCCGCGGCCUAUCAGCUUGUUGGUGGGGUGAUGGCCUACCAAGGCGACGACGGGUAGCCGGCCUGAGAGGGCGACCGGCCACACUGGGACUGAGACACGGCCCAGACUCCUACGGGAGGCAGCAGUGGGGAAUCUUGCGCAAUGGGCGAAAGCCUGACGCAGCGACGCCGCGUGAGGAUGACGG
rnacentral:rRNA from 1 species